rnacentral:rRNA from 1 species
GAUGAACGCUGGCGGCGUGCCUAAUACAUGCAAGUCGAGCGAACAGACGAGGAGCUUGCUCCUCUGACGUUAGCGGCGGACGGGUGAGUAACACGUGGAUAACCUACCUAUAAGACUGGGAUAACUUCGGGAAACCGGAGCUAAUACCGGAUAAUAUAUUGAACCGCAUGGUUCAAUAGUGAAAGACGGUUUUGCUGUCACUUAUAGAUGGAUCCGCGCCGCAUUAGCUAGUUGGUAAGGUAACGGCUUACCAAGGCAACGAUGCGUAGCCGACCUGAGAGGGUGAUCGGCCACACUGGAACUGAGACACGGUCCAGACUCCUACGGGAGGCAGCAGUAGGGAAUCUUCCGCAAUGGGCGAAAGCUUGACGGAGCAACGCCGCGUGAGUGAUGAAGGUCUUCGGAUCGUAAAACUCUGUUAUUAAGGAAGAACAAAUGUGUAAGUAACUAUGCACGUCUUGACGGUACCUAAUCAGAAAGCCACGGCUAACUACGUG